rnacentral:rRNA from 1 species
UACAGAGGGUGCGAGCGUUGUCCGGAAUCACUGGGCGUAAAGGGCGCGUAGGUGGUGGCUUAAGCGUGCGGUGAAAGCUCGGGGCUCAACUCCGAGUCGGCCGUGCGAACUGGGCUCACUGGAGCAUAGUAGAGGCAGGUGGAAUUCCGGGUGUAGCGGUGAAAUGCGCAGAUAUCAGGAGGAACACCGGUGGCGAAGGCGGGUCUCUGGGCAACAACUGACGCUGAGGAGCGAAAGCGUGGGGAGCAAACAGG